rnacentral:lncRNA from 1 species
GCUGCUCAGCCCUGGGGGCCCCUUUCCCCAACUCAGGCGGCCCAUAGACAGAGUGGGAAAAGUGGCAGCCCGCCGCGCUGCUCAGCCCCUGGGGUCCCUCACCCCACUCAGGCAGACGACAGCCAGAGUGGGUCAAAGUGGCAACCCGCCGCGCAGCUCAGCCCUGGGGGCCCAACCCUGACUCAGGCGGCAGACCACCAGAAUGGUGAAAGUGGCAGCCCGCUGCGCUGCCCAGCCCGGGCGGGCCCCCCUCUACUCAGGCGGCCGACAGCCAGACUGGGUCAAAGUGGCAGCCCGCCGUGCUGCUCACCCCUGGCGGCCACCGCCAACUCAGGUGGCCCACCGCCAGAGUGGGUCAAACUGGCAGCCUGCCGCCCUGCUCAGCACUGGGGGCCCCACUCCCACUCAGGCGGCCGACCGCCCGAGUGGGUCAAAGUCGCAGCCCGCAGCGCUGCUCAGCCCUGGGGGCGCCCCACGUAGUCUGGCGGCCGAUCGCCACAGUGGCUCAUAGUGGCAGCCCACCGCGCUGCUCAGCCCUGGGGGUCCCACGCCCACUCAGGCGGCCGACCGCCAGAGUGGGUCAAAGUGGCAGCCCGCCGCGCAGCUAAGCCCUGGCUGCCCCACCCUGACUGAGGUGGCAGACCGCCAUAGUGGGUCAAAGUGGCAGCCCGCCGCGCAGCUCAGUCCGGGCGGGCCCCCCUCUACUCAGGCGGCCGACAGAAAGACUGGGUCAAAUUGGCAGCCCGCCGCACUGCUCAGCCCUGGAGGCCCCCCCCCCCACUCUGGCUGCCGACCACCAGAGUGGGUCAAAGUGGCAGCCCGCCGCGCAGCUCAGCCCAGGGGACACAACCUGACUCAGGUUGCAGACCGCCAGAGUGGGUCAAAGUGGCAGACCGCCGCGCUGCUCAGCCCUGGAGGCCCCAACCCCUAUCAUGCGGCAGACGGUCAGAGUGGGAAAAACUGGCAGCCCGCCGCGCUGCUCUGCCCUGGGGGACCCACGCCCACUCAGGCGGCCGCCCACCACAGUGGGUCAAAGUGGCAGUCUGCUGCCCCGCUCAGCCCUGGGGGGGCCCCCACUCGGGCGGCCGAUGGCGCAAGUGAGUAAAGUAAAAGUGGCAGCCCGCCGCGCCGCUCAGCCACGGGGCCCCCACUCAGGCUGCAGACUGUGUAAAUGGCAGCCCCUGUGGCUGGGAAGUGCUUUGCAUCUACAGAAGCCUCUGGAACUAGGGCUAUGUUCUAUAUAUUAUACAGAAUCCAGCAGGAAAUGUUCAUCCAAGAACCCAUGCAAAAGACGCCCAUCCUAUUCCGCUGUCUGCCUUCUAGAGGGAACCAUUAUUCCGAUUCCCCUGGGUUUUUUUGUUUGUUUUUUUUUUUUUGAUACCUCUUUGUUGUUAAAAUCCCACAGGUAGAUUUUCUUAACACUAUAUAUAUAUAUUUUUUUUUAUUUAAGACCUUUAUUAACAGGUGCUUGCAGUUUGUUGACUUUUUUGAAAAAAUCAAGUUGUAAACUUUUAUUACAAAUUAAAAAUGAGGUUCUUAAAAAUCUCAACUUGACCAGAUAUGAAACAAUUUAAAAACCUUUAAAGGUGUAUUGAGAAAAACCAGGCUUUUUUUUUUUUUUUUUAAAAACACGUUUGUCAUUACCAAAAAGAGACAUCUUUAGGUAAAAAUAAUAAAAACCCCAUGCUGCAUAGAUAAUGCA